CCUACGGGAGGCAGCAGUGGGGAAUAUUGGGCAAUGGGCGCAAGCCUGACCCAGCGAAGCCGCGUGAGGGAAGACGGUCUUCGGAUUGUAAACCUCUUUCAGCCGGGAAGAAAAAAGGACGGUACCUGCAGAAGAAGACACGGCUAACACCGUGCCAGAAGCCGCGGUAAUACGUCGGUGGCAAGCGUUAUCCGGAAUUACUGGGGGUAAAGGGUGUGUAGGCGGGUUUGCAAGUCAGAUGUGAAAAUUAUGGGCCCAACCCAUAACCUGCGGUUGAAACUACAGAUCUUGAGAGUGGGAGAGGUAAACGGAAUUCCCGGUGUAGCGGUGAAAUGCGUAGAUAUACGGAGGAACACCAGUGGCGAAGGCGGAUUGCUGGACAGUAACUGACGCUGAGGCGCGAAAGCGUGGGGAGCAAACAGGAUUAGAUACCCCUGUAGUC
rnacentral:rRNA from 1 species